rnacentral:rRNA from 2 species
UGGGGAAUAUUGGACAAUGGGCGCAAGCCUGAUCCAGCCAUGCCGCGUGAGUGAUGAAGGCCCUAGGGUUGUAAAGCUCUUUCACCGGUGAAGAUAAUGACGGUAACCGGAGAAGAAGCCCCGGCUAACUUCGUGCCAGCAGCCGCGGUAAUACGAAGGGGGCUAGCGUUGUUCGGAUUUACUGGGCGUAAAGCGCACGUAGGCGGACUUUUAAGUCAGGGGUGAAAUCCCGGGGCUCAACCCCGGAACUGCCUUUGAUACUGGAAGUCUUGAGUAUGGUAGAGGUGAGUGGAAUUCCGAGUGUAGAGGUGAAAUUCGUAGAUAUUCGGAGGAACACCAGUGGCGAAGGCGGCUCACUGGACCAUUACUGACGCUGAGGUGCGAAAGCGUGGGGAGCAAACAG